rnacentral:rRNA from 1 species
GUGGGGAAUAUUGGACAAUGGGCGCAAGCCUGAUCCAGCCAUGCCGCGUGAGUGAUGAAGGCCUUAGGGUUGUAAAGCUCUUUUGUCCGGGAAGAUAAUGACUGUACCGGAAGAAUAAGCCCCGGCUAACUUCGUGCCAGCAGCCGCGGUAAUACGAAGGGGGCUAGCGUUGUUCGGAAUCACUGGGCGUAAAGCGCACGUAGGCGGACCAUUAAGUCAGGGGUGAAAGCCUGGAGCUCAACUCCAGAACUGCCUUUGAUACUGAUGGUCUCGAGGAUGGAAGAGGUUGGUGGAACUGCGAGUGUAGAGGUGAAAUUCGUAGAUAUUCGCAAGAACACCGGUGGCGAAGGCGGCCAACUGGUCCAUUACUGACGCUGAGGUGCGAAAGCGUGGGGAGCAAACAGGAUUAGAUACCCCGGUAGUCC